rnacentral:rRNA from 1 species
UACGUAGGGUGCGAGCGUUAAUCGGAAUUACUGGGCGUAAAGUGUGCGCAGGCGGCCGCGCAAGUCGAGUGUGAAAGCCCCGAGCUUAACUUGGGAAUUGCGCUCGAAACUACGUGGCUGGAGUGUGGCAGAGGAAGGUGGAAUUCCACGUGUAGCGGUGAAAUGCGUAGAGAUGUGGAGGAACACCGAUGGCGAAGGCAGCCUUCUGGGCCAACACUGACGCUCAUACACGAAAGCGUGGGGAGCAAACAGG